UACGUAGGUGGCAAGCGUUAUCCGGAAUUAUUGGGCGUAAAGCGCGCGCAGGUGGUUUCUUAAGUCUGAUGUGAAAGCCCACGGCUCAACCGUGGAGGGUCAUUGGAAACUGGGAGACUUGAGUGCAGAAGAGGAAAGUGGAAUUCCAUGUGUAGCGGUGAAAUGCGUAGAGAUCUGGAGGAACACCAGUGGCGAAGGCGACUUUCUGGGCUGUAACUGACACUGAGGCGCGAAAGCGUGGGGAGCAAACAGG
rnacentral:rRNA from 1 species